CUCGUAGACAAUGACAGGUCCGUUGCUUGUCAUUUUGGCUGUUGCCAGAUCGACUACAACUCGGAGGGAAGAAGACACUAAAGUGAUGAUCUGGGGGUUGGCUGGAGGUGAUUCUUCACAGCAGCCAAGACUUGAGGAAACAAUCCUGGAGCUUAGAAAUGAAGGCGCUCUCCCUGGAGGUCGGUGUUCCGAGGCAUCUAGUGGAUUGUAUUUCAGCCUCCUGGCAUCUUCGGUGGAGAGAAGGAAAGAGCUUUAUCUGUCUUUAUGCGCUUUUAAUUACAAACGGCCGGCUGGGCUGCAAUCUCCAGAGACCAGAGGUGAAGGAAGCACUUCAGGACCAGCUGCCACUCUGCUGGCAGCUCAAUAUCAACCUAAACAUCCCCAAACCCACAGGGAGGGGGGAGGGUGGCAGCUGGAGGUUAAUGCAAGGGUUGCAUAUCUAAGCAUAUCAGCUACAGACACCUGCCAAUCACUAGAUGGACUGUGUGUCAGUAAGGCAACAGGUCAGUUGUCUAUGUUAGCAUUCCCACUGGAGCAAUAAAAGUGAUGCCAUCAAUCAAACCAGUCCUUUGAGUCGCAGUUGGAGCGAGCUUCACAACUUCUCCAGGGGUCUGGUUCAAUGAGAGUCACGGGUGGUGAUGGACAGAUCUCCAAUCAGACAGUAAUGGUUAUUACCUUCAGUGUAACACACAGGCUGAUGGAGCGCACACCUAUUUCCCAAUCACACCCCUCCUUUUGCAACUUGGACUGCAAUGCAUUUACAGCUCCAGAACAAGACUGGAAGGAGACCUGCAGCGAUGAAUAUAUGAAGCCGAAAUAAAUAUGCAGAACACUGAUACGGAUCUUUGUCUUUUCUUAUUGACUCUACACAAAACAGAAUGUCUUUGGCAUCCAGUUUUAUCCCCUCACAACCUGUUUAUAAACUGGCAGCAUAAAUUAAUAGCUGAAAACCUUUCCCAGGGAACAAAACGGGAGGAACAUAAAAGCGAUAAAGUUUGUGCAGUGAAAGUGGAGAGACCCAGUACAAUAAAGACAGUGCUAAUUAAAAUCACUUGUGGUACAAACCAGCAGUUAAAAUUAACUGUGUUUAUUGUGCCCAGAAUUAAAAACUCUCAUGGUAGGCUAAUGAGCUGAAAACAUUUAGGCAAACACAGAGAGCAACUGCUUUCAUAACAGGUAAUAAAUGUAUUUUCUUUAAAGUGGGUCAGACUGUCUUUAAACAUCAUGUACGUGCUCUGAGCUUCUUUGUGUUGAAAUGUGUUUAAAAACAGAUCUCGCAGCAGA